CUCCUCCCUCUUCUUCUUCUUCUUUCUUUUCUCCCUUUUUCUUCGGACUCUUUUAUGGUAGUUUCUUCUAGGGUCAGGGUUUCAGACCCGUCAUGGGAAAUUCCGAUCCUAGAAUACGAACGGGCUCUAGUCGAAGCACGCCAGCGAAAAAACAAAGCCUUCCACCUCUCUCUCUUAACGCCUGCCAAACGAAGAGAUAAUGCAGAUAAUGCAGGAUAACACUACCCAAGAAAGCAUAUCCAGCACUGAUACUCUCAAUGCGAUUGGAAAAUCAGGUUUGAAAAUCUUCUCCUCCCAGAACUUUUAAGCUAAUAACUUUUAAGCUAAUCAAUGAAUUUGAUCAUAAAUAAAAUAACCCAGCACCAAGAAUAGAAAUGGCAUUAUCAGUACAUUUUUUCAACACCAAGCGGCUUGUAUUUUUACCACUAGGACUAAACAUUUUUGAGUUAUUUUGUAAUUAGGAAUAAGAAGUUUCUUCUCUGAGAUGCUGGCAUUUAACUUUCAUUUUCUAUCAAAACAUUGUGGAAUAUUCUUUGGGAUGAUAAAACGCCCGCCGUUUUCAAGCUAAUGUAGAGUUCUAUUAGAUAUACAUCAUAUGAUACCUGGGGAUUUGACUAGGUUCUCAUUGAGGUCUCUAACUUAACAUGAGAGAAUUAUUAAACACUAGCGUGAAUACACUUUCCAUGGAGUUGGGAUAUUUUGAGAGUAUAAUUGGUAGCACUCUGCUCUUGAAAUUUACCAUGGUAUUCCACUGAUCUUUUGGUAUGAUUAUGGAGCUUGACGCCUCUUUAUUUUUUGGAUUAGUCUUCAUUCUUCUCUGUGUUAUUAUAUCCCUUCUGGCAUUUCUAGAUGCAGUAGUUAUUUGUGGUUCAAAGCCAAGGAAACUCCCUUCGUAGAUGUCUUGAUACAUGCUUGUGUUAUUUUGGUGAUGGUUUUAAAGACAAUCAAAUUCUCAAUGUAGUUUGUUUAGAAGCUUGGAUCUAUUCAUGGAAAGGGGAACUACUGUUUGGAAAAAGUGUCUAUGAUCUUCCUAUUUAUGAUCUCAUCAAUUUGAGUUUUUGAGUUUUAAAAAUGUAUUUCUUAGUCAUUUGGAAUUGCCGCAUGUUAUUAAUAAUAAAAGUUGAUGACUC